rnacentral:rRNA from 1 species
GGCACGCCUAAUACAUGCAAGUCGAACGCAGUAGCAAUACUGAGUGGCAGACGGGUGAGUAUAAUGUGGGAAUCUGCCUUUUGGUUUGGAAUAACUCGGGGAAACUUGAGCUAAUACCGGAUAAGCCCUUACGGGGAAAGAUUUAUCGCCGAAAGAUGAGCCCGCACUUGAUUAGCUAGUUGGUAAGGUAAAAGCUUACCAAGGCAACGAUCAAUAGCUGUUCUUAGAGGAAGACCAGCCACAUUGGGACUGAGACACGGCCCAGACUCCUACGGGAGGCAGCAGUAGGGAAUCUUGCACAAUGGGGGAAACCCUGAUGCAGCGAUGCCGCGUGAGUGAAGAAGGCCUUUGGGUUGUAAAACUCUUUCGUCGGGGAAGAAAAUGACUGUACCCGAAUAAGAAGGUCCGGCUAACUUCGUGCCAGCAGCCGCGGUAAUACGAAGGGACCUAGCGUAGUUCGGAAUUACUGGGCUUAAAGAGCUCGUAGGUGGUUAAAGAAGUUGGUGGUGAAAUCCCAAGGCUCAACCUUGGAACUGCCAUCAAAACUUUUUAGCUAGAGUGUGAUAGAGGAAAGUGGAAUUUCUAGUGUAGAGGUGAAAUUCGUAGAUAUUAGAAAGAACACCAAAAGCGAAGGCAACUUUCUGGAUCACUACUGACACUGAGGAGCGAAAGCAUGGGUAGCGAAGAGGAUUAGAUACCCUCGUAGUCCAUGCUGUAAACGAUGUGUGCUAGACGUUGGAAAUUUAAUUUUCAGUGUCGCAGCAAAAGCGUUAAGCACACCGCCUGGGGAGUACGACCGC